rnacentral:rRNA from 1 species
AAUACUGGACAAUGGGGGCAACCCUGAUCCAGCAAUGACGCGUGUGUGAAGAAGGUCUUCGGAUUGUAAAUCACUUUCAGUUGGGCGGUAGGGCUUUAGGUUAAUACCCUGAAGUUUUGACGUUACCAACAGAAUAAGCACCGGCUAUCUCUGUGCCAGCAGCCGCAGUAAUACAGAGGGUGCAAGCGUUAAUCGGAAUUAAUGGGUGUAAAGCACUCGUAGGUGGUUCAGUAAGAUGGGUGUGAAAUCCCCGGACUUAACCUGGGAACUGCUUUCAUAACUGCUGAGCUAGAGUACGGUAGAGGGUAGUGGAAUUUCCUGUGUAGCGGUGAAAUGCGUAGAUAUAGGAAGGAACACCAGUGGCGAAGGCGACUACCUGGACUGAUACUGACACUGAGGUGCGAAAGCGUGGGGAGCAAAC